GUGUCAGCAGCCGCGGUAAUACGGAGGAUGCAAGCGUUAUCCGGAAUCAUUGGGCGUAAAGCGUCCGCAGGUGGCUCUUCAAGUCUGCCGUCAAAACUCAGGGCUUAACCCUGAACAGGCGGUGGAAACUGAAAAGCUAGAGUGCGGUAGGGGUAGAGGGAAUUCCCGGUGUAGCGGUGAAAUGCGUAGAGAUCGGGAAGAACACCAGUGGCGAAAGCGCUCUGCUGGACCUGCACUGACACUGAGGGACGAAAGCUAGGGGAGCGAAUGGGAUUAGAUACCCCUGUAGUCC
rnacentral:rRNA from 1 species